rnacentral:rRNA from 1 species
UACGGGGGGGGGCAAGCGUUGUUCGGAAUUACUGGGCGUAAAGGGCUCGUAGGCGGCCAACUAAGUCGGACGUGAAAUCCCCAGGCUCAACCUGGGAACUGCGUCCGAUACUGGAUGGCUUGAAUCCGGGAGAGGGAUGCAGAAUUCCAGGUGUAGCGGUGAAAUGCGUAGAUAUCUGGAGGAAUACCGGUGGCGAAGGCGGGUCUCUGGACGACUCCUGACACUGAGGCACGAAAGCUAGGGGAGCAAACAGG